CCUACGGGUGGCAGCAGUGAGGAAUAUUGGUCAAUGGACGCAAGUCUGAACCAGCCAUGCCGCGUGCAGGAAGACGGCUCUAUGAGUUGUAAACUGCUUUUGUACGAGGGUAAACGCAGAUACGCGUAUCUGUCUGAAAGUACCGUACGAAUAAGGAUCGGCGAACUCCGUGCCAGCAGCCGCGGUAAUACGGAGGAUUCAAGCGUUAUCCGGAUUUAUUGGGGUUAAAGGGUGCGUAGGCGGUCGGAUAAGUUAGAGGUGAAAUCCCGAGGCUCAACUUCGGAAUUGCCUCUGAUACUGGUCUGCUAGAGAGUAGUAGCGGUAGGCGGAAUGUAUGGUGUAGCGGUGAAAUGCUUAGAUAUCAGACAGAACACCGAUGGCGAAGGCAGCGUACCGGGCUACUACUGACGUUGAGGCACGAAAGCGUGGGGAGCAAACAGGAUUAGAUACCCGUGUAGUC
rnacentral:rRNA from 1 species